rnacentral:rRNA from 1 species
AUACGUAGGGUGCGAGCGUUGUCCGGAAUUACUGGGCGUAAAGAGCUCGUAGGUGGUUUGUCGCGUCGUCUGUGAAAUUCCGGGGCUUAACUCCGGGCGUGCAGGCGAUACGGGCAUAACUUGAGUACUGUAGGGGAGACUGGAAUUCCUGGUGUAGCGGUGAAAUGCGCAGAUAUCAGGAGGAACACCGGUGGCGAAGGCGGGUCGCUGGGCAGUAACUGACGCUGAGGAGCGAAAGCAUGGGUAGCGAACAGGAUUAGAUACCCUGGGAGUCCAUGCCGUAAACGGUGGGCGCUAGGUGUAGGGGUCUUCCACGACUUCUGUGCCGUAGCUAACGCAUUAAGCGCCCCGCCUGGGGAGUACGGCCGCAAGGCUAAAACUCAAAUGAAUUGGCGGGG